UUUGUGUUCACAGAAGCCCCAGCAGGAGUCAUCUGGUCUGGAUCGGCACAAAAAUGGGGGGAGCUGCUUCUAAAAUCAGCCCCCCUGUGGGGUGUAAAACAAAGAGAACUUUGAGGAUCAUCUUUCCGGAACUGGGACGUAUUUCAGGAACCGGGACUUUGUCUGGAAUCUUGCUCUCUGGUGUCUCUCAUGGUGAUAAGAUUGAAGAUCUAGAAAGUGUCCUGAUGGAGAGACCAGGCUCACCUGUACCCAGCUGUGUUUCCAUGAAGAGUCACAGGUCAAUGUCGGUACCAACCUCAUUCAGAGAGGAACCUUUUCCUACAGAUCAAAGGUAAA